AAAAAGGUAUGGCCAAAUGAAGACUCAAAAUCUCCCCAGAGUGGAUGAAAAUAUCCCCAACAGAGCAUAAGAGUUAAAAGUGAAUAUAAAAAGUGUUUGCUCCAGUUUGUCUUAUUUUGAUGAGUUUAGCUCAGCUAUAGGAUCAUUAAAACAAACAUUUUACAAUAUGCCACCGGACGCUGUGUGCUAGAAAAACUUCACCGUCUCUAUUUUGCGCGCUAAUCGUAGUAAGUGCCUUGCGUACUGUUGACAUCAUUAAAGAGCGUACGGCUACAUUUAGGCGAGGGCGCUGCUGUAUCGCACACUAUUCGACAACAAUUACUCUCUUCACUCAGUGAUGUAGAGUUUAGUGAUUGCAGUCAUUUGUAUCACUUACAGCGAUCUAUUUUUAUCGUAUAGUGUUGAGUCUUCCAAUCGCUUUCUCUGUAUAUCAUCGCCUCAUGCGUUCUGUGUUUGGAAAUCGGCGCGCGUCACUAGAGCAGGAGCUCAUGUCAUCUUCUCAGCUCCUGCUUCUGCUGCUGUUGUCUCACUCUCAUGGACCAUCACAUCCAGACAGCUGCUGGACCCUCUGUAGCCCUGUCAACGUCGCGUCUGUGUGUCGAUAGGAAAGACAGCCUAAGAUGAAUGCCAGUGACAAAAUUGAAGCCCCCAUCCACAAGAAAAACACCCUGCUGUCCAUUGUCACCGACUUCUCAGAACAAAAACCAGGGAAAUAGCAACAGAAAAAAAAGUCCACAAGGGAAUGAAAGCUAUGUUGAACAGUUGUUAAAAGUAAGAGCUGUUCAAACUGUUCAGGCUUCACUCUUAAUCCAUCUUCAGAACAGUUUCAAAGUCUUCUGAAGCACAGCGCGUCCUUGAUGUGUGAACAUAAGAGAUGUGAAAAGCAGGACACACUUGUUCACACAGGAUCAGCCGAUCAGCAGGACCCCUGGGAGACUAAUAAUGACAGCAGACUGAUGGUGACAACAACAAGCUGAGCUUCACAGGUCACAGAUCAGAACAGUGUGUGACAGCUGAUCUGAGGGUGGCUGUCUCUGUGUCAGCGAUGCAGCUAUGUGACCAUGAAGACACCGUCUCUGCCACCGGACUGUCCACUGCUGCAGUGGUGGCAAUAGUGUGCAACAUCCUGGUAGCUCUGCUCAUACUAGUUCUCAUAUUAAUCCUCUGCAAAGCAUGCAAGGUUCCCUCCAGCCAGGAGAGCGUCCCGGUGUUGACUUUAGAGAACGCACAGCAGAGCAAUGAGCAGAGGUACUUGCUGACGGCAUGAA